CAAAAUGAAGUUUUUAAAUAAAUCCCACACUCCAAUUAGACAAAGAACUUUCACAUAACAAAACCAGCCAGCUUGGAAAUAGAUCUUUCUUUAAAAUGAACAACUGAACAAGUGAUGGAACACUGGGAUG